UACGAAGGGGGCUAGCGUUGUUCGGAGUUACUGGGCGUAAAGGGCGCGUAGGCGGCCCUCCAAGUCGGGUGUGAAAGCCCACGGCUCAACCGUGGAAUUGCACUCGAGACUGAAGGGCUUGAGGACGGGAGAGGAUGGUGGAAUUCCCAGUGUAGAGGUGAAAUUCGUAGAUAUUGGGAAGAACACCGGUGGCGAAGGCGGCGCUCUGGACCGAGACUGACGCUGAGGCGCGAAAGCGUGGGGAGCAAACAGG
rnacentral:rRNA from 1 species